GCAAGGCAGGUUGGGAUUAAAAAAUAAAUAAAAUUGAACAAUUUUAUUUUACCAACAUAACAAACGAAGCACGUUGAAAUAAUAAAAAAAAGUUGAACAAUAAUGUUUUGGUAAAAUCACAAUCGUAUUACAUUUAGCGCUCAAAGAUCACGUAGUAAUAUGCAAGAAAAAUUAUAAAUUCUCUGUCUAUUCUUUGAUCCUUGUAAAAAUGUGUAGACGGUUCAAUGAUCGUGGUAGGCUUCAUACUGAAUGAAUAGCAUUACAUCAUCUAAAUUUUGCUUGCACCUGUAGAGAAAAUCAAGGCAUGAGUCAAUCGCUGUCAUUCUUUUAUCAAGUUCAGCUUCCUUAAAACUCUAUCAGACGCCCAAAAAAAGUAGCAGCACUGUAUAUCAAACUGAAUCCUGUGCUUAAGCAUUUAGAGCAACAAAAUGGUAUGUGAACCAUGGAAGCUGGAAAACAUAAAAUACUUUUUUGAAACACAGUGUUGAACACGACUGGAGAUCAUGGUAAACAAGAUCUUUUAACUUAUUUCUAAUAUUUUAGGCAUGUUUGGAGGCUUUUGAAAAGUCAAAAACUACUUUUGAGACUAAAAAACUGCUUUUUAAUCUAUUUAAAUAAUUUUCUGGAAACGCUUUGUCUGGUUACAAAAAUUUUUAGAGUAAGCUUUUUUACAAGAAGCAGAAGCCCUGCUAGACGGGUUCUUAAUAUAGUUCAAUACUAUCCGUUCUACCCGAGAAAAGAAACUAGACAUGUAAAUUCGACAGAAAUGAAUGGAUCCGUGGAGGAGACGAUGCUCUCUCUANGGUUUGUGUUC
rnacentral:lncRNA from 1 species